AUUGAACGCUGGCGGCAUGCCUUACACAUGCAAGUCGAACGGCAGCACGGGAGCAAUCCUGGUGGCGAGUGGCGAACGGGUGAGUAAUAUAUCGGAACGUGCCCAGUAGUGGGGGAUAACCCGGCGAAAGUCGGACUAAUACCGCAUACGACCUACGGGUGAAAGCGGGGGAUCGCAAGACCUCGCGCUAUCGGAGCGGCCGAUAUCAGAUUAGCUUGUUGGUGGGGUAAAAGCCUACCAAGGCGACGAUCUGUAGCUGGUCUGAGAGGACGACCAGCCACACUGGGACUGAGACACGGUCCAGACUCCUACGGGAGGCAGCAGUGGGGAAUCUUGCGCAAUGGACGAAAGUCUGACGCAGCGACGCCGCGUGUGUGAUGAAGGCCUUCGGUCGUAAAGACUCUUUCGGUCAGGAACGAAACGGUAGGGCGUCUAACAUAGCCUGCUAAUGACGGUACCUGAAGAAGAAGCACCGGCGUAACUACGUGCCAGCA
rnacentral:rRNA from 1 species